rnacentral:rRNA from 1 species
UACGAAGGGGGCUAGCGUUGUUCGGAAUUACUGGGCGUAAAGCGCACGUAGGCGGAUAUUUAAGUCAGGGUGAAAUCCCAGAGCUCAACUCUGGAACUGCCUUUGAUACUGGGUAUCUUGAGUAUGGAAGAGGUGAGUGGAAUUCCGAGUGUAGAGGUGAAAUUCGUAGAUAUUCGGAGGAACACCAGUGGCGAAGGCGGCUCACUGGCUCGGUACUGACGCUGAGGUGCGAAAGCGUGGGAGCAAACAGG